rnacentral:rRNA from 1 species
UACAGAGGGGGCAAGCGUUAUUCGGAAUUAUUGGGCGUAAAGGGCGCGUAGGCGGCUUUGCAAGUGACGGGUGAAAGCCCUCGGCUUAACCGAGGAACUGCCUGUCAGACUGUAAGGCUUGAGACCGGGAGAGGUGAGUGGAAUUCCCAGUGUAGCGGUGAAAUGCGUAGAUAUUGGGAGGAACACCAGUGGCGAAGGCGGCUCACUGGACCGGAACUGACGCUGAGGCGCGAAGGCGUGGGGAGCAAACAGG